CCAGAGAACUUAGCAGAGAUGCUUUGGUGCCUUCGGGAACUCUGAGACAGGUGCUGCAUGGCUGUCGUCAGCUCGUGUUGUGAAAUGUUGGGUUAAGUCCCGCAACGAGCGCAACCCUUAUCCUUUGUUGCCAGCGGCUCGGCCGGGAACUCAAAGGAGACUGCCGGUGAUAAACCGGAGGAAGGUGGGGAUGACGUCAAGUCAUCAUGGCCCUUACGGCCAGGGCUACACACGUGCUACAAUGGCGCAUACAAAGAGAAGCGACCUCGCGAGAGCAAGCGGACCUCAUAAAGUGCGUCGUAGUCCGGAUUGGAGUCUGCAACUCGACUCCAUGAAGUCGGAAUCGCUAGUAAUCGUAGAUCAGAAUGCUACGGUGAAUACGUCCCCGGGCCUUGUACACACCGCCCGUCACACCAUGGGAGUGGGUUGCAAAAGAAGUAGGUAGCUUAACCUUCGGGAGGGCGCUUACCACUUUGUGAUUCAUGACUGGGGUGAAGUCGUAACAAGGUAAGCGUAGUGCU
rnacentral:rRNA from 1 species